UGAGUAAUGUCUGGGAAACUGCCUGAUGGAGGGGGAUAACUACUGGAAACGGUAGCUAAUACCGCAUAACGUCGCAAGACCAAAGAGGGGGACCUUCGGGCCUCUUGCCAUCAGAUGUGCCCAGAUGGGAUUAGCUAGUAGGUGGGGUAAUGGCUCACCUAGGCGACGAUCCCUAGCUGGUCUGAGAGGAUGACCAGCCACACUGGAACUGAGACACGGUCCAGACUCCUACGGGAGGCAGCAGCGGGGAAUAUUGCACAAUGGGCGCAAGCCUGAUGCAGCCAUGCCGCGUGUGUGAAGAAGGCCUUCGGGUUGUAAAGCACUUUCAGCGAGGAGGAAGGUGGUGAACUUAAUACGUUCAUCAAUUGACGUUACUCGCAGAAGAAGCACCGGCUAACUCCGUGCCAGCAGCCGCGGUAAUACGGAGGGUGCAAGCGUUAAUCGGAAUUACUGGGCGUAAAGCGCACGCAGGCGGUUUGUUAAGUCAGAUGUGAAAUCCCCGGG
rnacentral:rRNA from 1 species